rnacentral:rRNA from 1 species
ACGGGAGAAGUACAACAGGGAUUGCCUUAGUAACGGCGAGUGAAGCGGCAAUAGCUCAAAUUUGAAAGCUGGCGUCUUCGACGUCCGCGUUGUAAUUUGUAGAGGAUGCUUCGGCGAAGACUCCUGCCUAAGUCCCCUGGAACGGGGCGUCAUAGAGGGUGAGAAUCCCGUAUGUGGCGGGCAGUCUAAGCCAUGUGAAGCUCCUUCGACGAGUCGAGUUGUUUGGGAAUGCAGCUCUAAAUGGGAGGUAAAUUUCUUCUAAAGCUAAAUAUUGGCCAGAGACCGAUAGCGCACAAGUAGAGUGAUCGAAAGAUGAAAAGCACUUUGGAAAGAGAGUUAAAAAGUACGUGAAAUUGUUGAAAGGGAAGCGCUUGCAACCAGACUCGCUCGUAGUUGCUCAGCCGGCCUCUUGGCCGGUGUACUCUUCUGCGAUCGGGCCAGCAUCAGUUCGGGCGGCCGGAUAAAGGUGUCGGGAAUGUAGCACCCUUCGGGGUGUGUUAUAGCCCGGCGCGGAAUGCGGCCAGCCUGGACUGAGGAUCUCGCUUCGGCAAGGAUGCUGGCGUAAUGGUUGUAAGCGGCCCGUCUUGAAACACGGACCAAGGAGUCUAACAUCUAUGCGAGUGUUUGGGUGUCAAACCCAUGCGCGUAAUGAAAGUGAACGGAGGUGGGAACCCUUCACGGGGUGCACCAUCGACCGAUCCUGAUGUCUUCGGAUGGAUUUGAGUAAGAGCAUAGCUGUUGGGACCCGAAAGAUGGUGAACUAUGCCUGAAUAGGGUGAAGCCAGAGGAAACUCUGGUGGAGGCUCGCAGCGGUUCUGACGUGCAAAUCGAUCGUCAAAUUUGGGUAUAGGGGCGAAAGACUAAUCGAUCCAUCUUGGCGCC